rnacentral:rRNA from 1 species
UACAGAAGCCCCGAGCGUUACCCGGAUUUACUGGGCGUAAAGGGUGCGUAGGCGGUUUUAUUAGUCAGUUGUUAAAACUUCAGGCUCAACCUGGAGAUCGCAAUUGAAACGGUAAAACUUAGAAGGUGUGAGAGGUCUAGAGAAUUCUCGGUGUAGGGGUGAAAUCCGUUGAUAUCGAGGAGAAUACCAAAUGCGAAGGCACUAGACUGGCACAUUCUUGACGCUGAGGCACGAAAGCGUGGGUAGCGAACGGG